CUCAAGAGACGUUUGGACAGUGCCCUCAUUGCUAUGCUUUAACUUUUGGUUAGCCCUGAAGAGGUCAGGCAGUUGAACUCUGAUCUUUGCAGGUUCCUUCCAACCAAACUGUUCUUCUCUCCUCUUCUCAAGUGGUGUCUUCCACUGGAAUUUUACUGUUUUCUGUCUCGGCAGUAUGAAUGUCCCAAACCUCCAGAUUCUUGUGACAAUUCUAUCCCUUUUCUUAACGAAAUGAUCCUGCCUCUUAUCUCCACUUCUGUGGAAUUCAGUUGCUCAAAGAAAGACAUACAGCCUCUGUUUGAGAGACCCAGAUUACUCAUGAAUUCUGUGCUUUGUUUCUUCUUCUUUCUCUGUUGUCACCAUUUUCUUCCAGAAAGCUUUUCUUGUUCCUUAGUUAAAUCUUUUGCAAAGCCAGCUUCCCUUUUUUCAGUACUACGUGGUUGAAACCAGUCAGAUUUUGAGUUUAACAAAAAUGGAGUAUGAUGUUUGGGGACACCACUGCCAGAAAAGUGUCAGCAAACUGGGAAGAGUUCAGUGCAGGAGCAUUGAGGUGAAAAGGGGCCGGAGCACUUGGCACACAAGGAGAAACCAGGGAAACUGGGCUUGUUAAGCCUCAUGAGGAGGAGGAGGAUUGCGGAAGGGGGUGGUCUAAUAGCAGCCUUCUACCACCUGUGGAGAGAUUAUAGAGAAGAACUACACUUUUCGUGGAGGUGCACAGAAAAAGGAAUAAGAAGUGAUGAGCACAACAUGCAACAAGGAAGAUCUGACCUGGGCAUAAUGAGGACAACUCUUUACCAAGAGAGUGGUGCAACUUUGAGAUAGAGUCUGGAGAGGUUGCGGACACUCCAUCCUGGGAGAUUUCAAAAUUUGACUGCAUGAUACCUUGAGCAGCCUAAUAUAGUUUUGAGAUUAGCCUUGCUUGAGACAGAAAGUUAGGCCUAAUGACCUUCAGAUGUGCCUUUCAAUCUAAAUUUUUUUCAUAGUUCUCUAUAAUUGCUAAGAAGACAGCAUUUCAGUACCUGGAAGUUCAGUAAAUUGCAGUUACUUCUCAUGUCAACUCUGAGCUGUAACAAGAUAUUCAGCUCAAAAUUCUGUCAGCAAAUCUCUUCUUAAAAAUGGGUAUUUUUUAAUAUCUAGAUAAUUCACAAAGGAGGACUGAUGGGUAUAGGUGCAUAAAGGUGGUUGGCAAUUUUUUUUUCCAGGUACUUUAGAAGUACCACGUCUCAUUGUUACUGUUUUGAAAUGCGAGAAUGUAAAAGGUUGCUGUAAGCAUUCACCAGAUUAAUGAUAUAAACAUAUUGGAUGUAAGUUAGGAUAUAAGUUUGCCUAGUAUUAAGUGAUAUAUACAAAUAGGCCUGGCUAUUUUUUUUCCUAACCUGGUCAGGUAGUUCUUUAUUAUAAAAGACAUCACUUUGGAAACAUUGCCUACUAAACAAUCCUUAUUGUAUUUGACGUCUUCAGUUAAAAUAGUAAUGUUUUAGGUGGAGAGAGGGGACUAGGAGGAAUUAAGAGUAUCCAGUUCUUGUUGUUUUUUUUUUUUUGAUUUGCAUUGUUAUUCACUUUUCUAGGACGACUGUACUGUCUGCUUGCAGCCCAAUUAUCUGAAUUGUACAGGUACAGUGCAUGCUUGCUGAAAAAGAAAAUAUAGCUUCCUUUAACCCCUGCUCCUUCACCCAGCAUAAUGCCACAACUUGGUACAAUCAUUUCUCCUUAAUUUAUUCUGAAUUUUAAUCCUGUUUCCUCUAUGUUUUGCCUUGCUUUCUGUCUGUUUCUUUUUCAUUUUACUAGUAUUUUAAUAUCUGUUUUCUGCGGAAUUGCUGAGGACAGCAAAGACAAUCUACAGAGUAUCAAUGAGCAACUUGACAGCAUAUGUACUCACAAUACAGUACACCCAAAAUGUUGCUUUUUGGCUGUUAAAUACUUUUAAAAUUUUCUUUCUCUGAUUUCUCAGGUAAAGAACAUCUCCACAUCUAGAUAAUUUUGUUAUAAUAAAUGGCAUUUUGAAUCCAUCAUUAUUUUUAGGCUUCUGACAUUGUUGUUGAAAGUAAGCAUCAGAAUUUUUCAGAGCAAAAAUCAGAGCUGCUUUAAUACUACUCAUCCUCUGCUGCGGAAGACCUGUUAUCUGAAAGACUUGGAAAUAGAUAUUGGAAAUUUAGGGGCGUAAGAUUGCAUUAAAAUUUAAACUUACUUUUUUAGACUUUUCUGUAGUAGUUCACUGCACCAGAUCAUGCUGUUGGUCAGUGCUUUUCUUCAUUGAAGAAGAUCAGUUCAGUAUUUAGUCUCUAAAACAUACCUACUUAAUGUUGGUUUCAUCCUGUAACUUCUCAGAGAGAUCUGUUCCCAUAAAUCAAAGUUCUCUAAAAUCAUAUUUUAAUGUAGAACUGAAUUUGAGCAAGCAUGUAGAUGCAUGGUUUCAAAACAGCUAUCCAUGGUAAAAAGACAUUAAAUUGGCUUGCUUAAGUAAGCAAGAGUUGGAGACUACCUCCCUGUCAUGUCAAACCACCCAAACAUAGAAGGCCUUAAAAAAGAACUGAAAAUUAUAUUUUUUUAAAAGUUAAUUCCAACAGAGAAGCUGGUCAGUCAUCGUAGCCUCUCGUAUGGAACAAAUGUUCCAUUUACUGUGUGAAUUACGAAAGUAAAGUGAAGAGAGAAAGCACACCAGCACACAUGGAAGACUUCUGUCUACAGAUUCGUCUUUGUACUGGACAGCAUCUCUAGAAUCAGAUACUCUGAGAUUUGUAGGAAGGAGCCGGUAGGGAUCAGAAUGAUGUCAUACCCAUAAAAAGGAAAAAAUAAAAAUAAAGAGGCAGAACAUGAGAAUCAAGAUUGAAGAGCUGUUUUUCACAUCUUGCCUGAUACAAUCAAAUGGUAGAGCAAUAUCAUCACUUCUUCAGGGUCUUUAUGUGCAAGACUGAAAGCUUUUCUCAAGCAGAGCAUGUUGUGGAGCUGAAUGGAGGACCACAAGACAAAUUUCAUGUUCUUCUGUUUGACAGUUCAGACCUAACAGGACAGGUCUGUAGAUGCAAGACCAAAGCAUAGCUUAGAGUAGCCCUAAAGCUUCUUUAAGUUGUGCUUGGAAAACAGUUGUUGGACUUGAAAUGUAUUUUAAAAGCAUGUUAAGUUCAUGCCAUCUUUUCUGUAAUUACGGUAUGCAUGGUAUUGUCACAACCAAUGAUUUGACUUCUUCAGUAUUGUUUUUACUUUAAUAAAAUUCCAAAAUAUAACCUUCGUAUGUCUAUUAAUUGUCUGAGUAAACUGCAGUAAGUAGAUCAGGGUUAGCAUGAUGAUGCAGUUGAUAAAAUAUAAAACUAACAAGGUAAAAGAUAAGAGAUUCACAAUUGCUCUGGUAUUCUUAACCAGAUGUAGAGUAUUAUUAAAUUGUACUGCUGUUGUCCUACAAGCUCUGGAUUUACACUUCACUGUGCUAGGUGCUCUACAGAGUCUACCUACACUCAUUACAGCUAUAUGUACAGCUCUCAUGUUCAGUGGUAAAUACUGAUAGUAAUAUAACUAUUUCCAUAAUAAUAGCCCUGGAAACUGUUAUUGUAAACUGAUAGGCAUUUAAAUAAAUGGUUUUUGCUGACCUACAGAACUUGGACACCCUAAUAUGCAGUGCAUUUCUUAGGCAAAUGUUGGUAGUAUAUGAAUGUUGGUAGUUAAAAUGAAUAAAACUAUAAAAGAAGGCAUGUGCUAGUGGUUUCAUGAAAACCUUUCCCAGGAUGUCUCUUACCUGAUUUAAUAGCCAUUUCUCCAGCUGAAGAUGCAAAUAAAAUAAGCAUGAGUGGUGGAGUGCACGUCUAGAAGGAAGAUCAUUUAUAAAUCUGUUUAUUUGUGUCCGUAGUGUUUUUUGUGUUGUUGCAAUAAAACCAUGGAUUUCUUACCUCUUUAGGAAAAGGCAGUAUCUUAUAAACAGCAGGAGAUUGCUUAACCAGAGAACUCGUUUUGAUAUGUGUCUAUAUUGCAAUAUAUCUUAAAUCAGUCAGCUACGAGGGGGUUACUCUAAACAUAUAUUUAGAUAUCUUCUAAUUAGGAAAAUUCAACUUAAAUUUACCUAUGAAGUUGUGUGUAUUCUUUUCCUGGUGUAGGCAUGGAGAGUAAUAGAAUUGUUAAACCAAACAUACAAUAUUCAAUUUAUUAACCUCUUUUGGCAUCUUGAUAAUGAGCAGUGCUUUUAUGUUGUUGCAGGUGGGCUGUCAGAUAUAACUUUAUCUGGUGAUAGCAUAGUUUCUGUAAGGAAGACACACCAGCUUUAAAGUUAAUUUAACUGCGUUUAUUUAUGUUUUAGCAUAGCAAAUCAAACUAUUUCACUCAGUGAGCCAACUUACAAAACUGCCCCCAGUCUUGGGAACUUAUCUGGUAAUUUUUAGUGAAUUUUGGGAUGCCUCCUGAGAAUCAGGAAGGAGACGUUUCAGACAGGUCUCUGACCAAGCAGAUUUUAUGGUACAAAUUAGCAAAAGAUGUUUUAUUUCUCUGGAAAGCUCUCAUUGCAAAUACAAAUUAAGGGUAUCCAGUUCCUUCUUCACCCUGCUUUAUGACAGAGGUGGCUGAUGUACACUGAAUAGUUUGUUCUUGUUGGUUUGGGGAGUCAGGGACAGAACAGGAAAUUAAGGAGCUUUAUGUGAUUGCCUGAUCUUUCUGUAUGACCAGAAGAAUAUCAAGCUAGACUAAUGGUCCUUCUUCCUGAGUCUUGCUC